GGGUGACGCUGGCGGCGUGCCUAUACAUGCAGUCGAGCGAAUGGAUUAAGAGCUUGCUCUUAUGAAGUUAGCGGCGGACGGGUGAGUAACACGUGGGUAACCUGCCCAUAAGACUGGGAUAACUCCGGGAAACCGGGGCUAAUACCGGAUAACAUUUUGAACCGCAUGGUUCGAAAUUGAAAGGCGGCUUCGGCUGUCACUUAUGGAUGGACCCGCGUCGCAUUAGCUAGUUGGUGAGGUAACGGCUCACCAAGGCAACGAUGCGUAGCCGACCUGAGAGGGUGAUCGGCCACACUGGGACUGAGACACGGCCCAGACUCCUACGGGAGGCAGCAGUAGGGAAUCUUCCGCAAUGGACGAAAGUCUGACGGAGCAACGCCGCGUGAGUGAUGAAGGCUUUCGGGUCGUAAAACUCUGUUGUUAGGGAAGAACAAGUGCUAGUUGAAUAAGCUGGCACCUUGACGGUACCUAACCAGAAAGCCACGGCUAACUACGUGCCAGCAGCCGCGGUAAUACGUAGGUGGCAAGCGUU
rnacentral:rRNA from 1 species